rnacentral:lncRNA from 13 species
AUGGGAGCAGUGGGAAUUUGGCAAGGACGGGGAUCCCAAACUGCUCGUCCGGCCCGGCUCCAGGCCAAAUCCCUCCGGAUCCCUGGGAAAAGCUGCAUCCCACAGGAUUCCGGGGUUGUGGGAUCUCCCAGGGCUCGGCACGGGCUCGGGGUGACGGGAGGAUGUGGGAUCCUGGCCGUGUGCCGGGAUCCUUGCGCAGGGAUCCCAUCCCUGGGCAGGGAUCCCAUCCCAUCUGCACUGGGAUCCCUCUUUUCCAUCCCCAUCCCUGUUUUGGGAUCCCAUCCCGAUUCUGGGAUCCCUCUGGGAUCCCUCUUUUGCACCCCAUCCCUCCUCCCCGCCCCCUUCUCCCACCCGGGAUCAAUUCUCCGCCCCAAGCCGCGCUCUGCGCUUUCCCUUUGGGAUUUCUGGGAUUUUCCCGGCGCUCCGGACCCAUCCCCGCAUCCCAAAAUCCCCAAAUCCCAGGAAACAUCCCCAAAUCCACCCCGCCCCGGGGACCCCCUUUGGGACCCGCGCGGCUCCCGCAGCUCCUCGCGUCAUUCCCGAUUUAUUCCCAGCCGCCGCUGCUCCCGGAAAAACCGGGAUUUGGGGCGGAACCGCGGUUUUUCCAUCCCCAAAUCCCCCCACGCCACAUUCCCGGUGCUUCCAGAGGAUCCCUGGGAUCGGGGAGGGGGAGGUUCCAUCCUGGGGCUGCUCCCAAAAUGUCACCGCUCAUCUGAUGCCGAGGGAAAAACCGGGAAAACCGGGGAAACCCGGGGAAAAAACCGAGGAAAACCGGGGGAAAAAACGGGGAAAACCGGGGAAAAAACCGAGGAAAAAACGGGGGAAACCGGGAAAAAUGGGGGAAAAAGGCAGCGGGAGCCGAGCCCGCGGCUCUGCGGCAGCGCAGGGGAGGCUCCGCUGCGGCCGGGGGGAGUGGGGGGGGAUUUUCGCCGUCCCCGAUGUCCCCUCCCCGCUCCGGGAGCAGCGGAGCGAUGCCGGCGCUGGCGCUGCCACCGCUGUGCCCCGUCCUGUGCCAGCCUGGGCUGUCCUGUGCCAGCCUGGGCUGCCCUGUGCCACCCUGGGCGCGCCGCAGCGCUGGCACCGCGCGUCUCUGGCUCGCGUCCCUCCGGCACAGCGCUGCUGUGGGCAUUUUAG